rnacentral:rRNA from 1 species
GAUGAACGCUGGCGGCGUGCCUAAUGCAUGCAAGUCGAGCGAACGGACGAGAAGCUUGCUUCUCUGAUGUUAGCGGCGGACGGGUGAGUAACACGUGGAUAACCUACCUAUAAGACUGGGAUAACUUCGGGAAACCGGAGCUAAUACCGGAUAAUAUUUUGAACCUCAUGGUUCAAAAGUGAAAGACGGUCUUGCUGUCACUUAUAGAUGGAUCCGCGCUGCAUUAGCUAGUUGGUAAGGUAACGGCUUACCAAGGCAACGAUGCAUAGCCGACCUGAGAGGGUGAUCGGCCACACUGGAACUGAGACACGGUCCAGACUCCUACGGGAGGCAGCAGUAGGGAAUCUUCCGCAAUGGGCGAAAGCCUGACGGAGCAACGCCGCGUGAGUGAUGAAGGUCUUCGGAUCGUAAAACUCUGUUAUUAGGGAAGUACAUAUGUGUAAGUAACUGUGCACAUCUUGACGGUACCUAAUCAGAAAGCCACGGCUAACUACGUG